rnacentral:snRNA from 1 species
AUCGCUUCUCGGCCUUUUGGCUAAGAUCAAGUGUAGAAAUGGCCUUCACGAGACCUAGGGAUUUUCCAGGUAGAUCAAAGUACUUUUUAAACACAAGUGGAAUUCAAUCAAUAUAAUAUGAAUUGUUGUUAAGACAGCAAGUUACUGCCUUGCUUAACACCCCAAU